GAAAGCGAAUUCUCUCUGACACCAAGACCAACGCUCUAGCAAAGCUCCUCCGGCGGGUAUUUUGUUUUCCCAGCGGGUUCUGCCUUAACAAUAAGGUCCUUUGUAGGCCAAAAUGUGCAGGGCAUAAAAGCAUGUGAUUUGGGACUUUCCAAUGGGGAAGUGAACAGAAACUGCCGCAGACCUGGACGUGAACAGGAAGUUACCCUCGGCUGGUGAAUGCAGGCAGGCCUGGCUGAGGGUGGUGAGACUGCGAGGGACAGGUGAGAGAUGAAGCUCAGAAGACAUCUUUGCAGAGAUGUGGAGAAGCCAGGAGGAAGUCCUUCCUAAAAUAAACCUGACCUCCUAUUGCUGGUAUUUAUGCAGCUUUGACCAGGACCUGGUAACAGAUGUGGAUGGACUUGAACUACCAGCUUAGAAGGAAGCCAAGACUUAAGGUUUCCUAGAUCCCAGCUUUUUGGAAAUUUUAGCAUUCAGGUGCCAGGAAUGCAGAUGGGACAGCCAGUGCCAGAAACAGGCCCAGGUAUACUCCUCGAUGGAUACUCUGGGUGCCCAGCAUUUUCAGACACUUAUUCCUCAGCUGGUGACUCCGUGUAUACUUACUUCAGUGCUGUUGCUGGACAGGAUGGUGAAGUGGAUGCUGAAGAACUUCAGAGAUGUUUGACACAGUCUGGAAUUAGUGGAACUUACUCUCCCUUCAGUUUGGAAACCUGCAGAAUUAUGAUUGCCAUGUUGGAUAGAGAUUACACAGGAAAAAUGGGAUUUAAUGCAUUCAAAGAGCUAUGGUCAGCUCUUAAUGCCUGGAAGGAAAACUU
rnacentral:sRNA from 1 species